GUGUUCAAUUGAGCAGCACAUUUACUAAAAACUGAUUAGCUUGGCCCCUGCACAAGGAUGACACAAAAAUUCAUGAAGCUUUGCAUAUCUUU
ensembl:snRNA U6 U6 spliceosomal RNA